AGUACCUGUCGUUUAUUUUAAAAAAGUGUUCAUAAUUCAGAAAAAUUUGAAACAUCAUUGAAACUCACUAUUUGGUACAUUUCACCUAUGAAAUGUAUAAAACAUAUUCUAUGACAUUUAAUGAAGAUUAAAUUUCAAAAAUAUCAAUGUUAAACACAUUAUCAUUCUAAUUUGAAUUAAUAGCGAGAGAAAGGCAAUAAAAAAUAGUUAUAUAAAAUAAGCACAACAUAAAGUGAAGAAAAUAAAUCCUGAAAUUUGAAAAUGAAUGAAAUUCUUUGAUUUUUUUGGAGGUCUGAUCUUAAGAACCAUAUGUUAUCAAUGGUGUCAUCUUUGAUAGUGAACCUAGUUUGGGGGCAAAUUUUUCCAGCUGUUAGAAAAGCAUUUUCAUAUUUUAUACUAGUUGUAGGAAUAGUGAAGAGAUAAAUAUAAACUAAAUUCAAAUAUUUUCUCUGUAUCUUUUGUCUACAAAUAACCUUAUCUCUGUGAUAACAUAAUCUUUGAGAAAUUUUUAUUUUUAUUAAAGAUUUUAAUAUUUUUACGGACAGUGCGCGGUAGUUUUUGUUACUAAGGCCCAGCAGUCAGUUUGGAAGAUGCCUGGUUCUUAGUUUAUGCUAUGAAACAGCCUUUGUUCAAACAAACAAAACAAAUCAAUCAGACAGAUAAGGAGUUUCCACCACUGAACACUGAUUGUUUUUGCUAUCAACCUGACAGCAUUCGAAGUGCAGGUAUCUUGAGGAUAAGACUAAAUCUUUGUUCUUUAUAAUUCUCUUUUAGGGAAGCUCCCCUCCUUUAUAUAUUCAGGUUAAUGCUAAAAAGAAAAACAAAUACUUCUUUCAAGAAGUAGAGCUAGAGAGAAUUUGAUCUGGGAAAAUCUGUGUUAAGAGUUCCAGUCUUUUUCACUCACUAGCCUUGAGAAAUCAUAAAGUCUUCCUUUCAAUGCUGGGUUUAACUCUCUGGUUAUUUCCCAGGACAUUAAUAAUUUAGAUUUCAGGCUUUUAAAAUACUGAAAUAAUAGUAUCACACCAACAAAAAGAUUGGUUCUUUGGUGCUUAACAAUCAGUAGCAUGAUAUACUGGAGUUCUAGAAUGUUGCAAUUCAACACUGCAAUCACUAAUUUAAACCAUCUUUCUCAGAACAUUUUCCUCCAUUAAGCUACUGUAGGGUCUAAAUUCCAUUUGUAGAGUAAAGUCCACAUUGACUUAAGCAGCUGUUUACAGGAUAUCCUUAACUAUAUGAAUACACCCAAGGUGUCCUCUCUUUAGUCAUUAAUCACUUGCUGUAAAUUGUUUAACAGCCAAGUAGUCAAGAAAGGGACCUGGACCAGGUUGUUUUUCUGAGGCUGAGCAGUGGACAGAGAACUGCAUGCAAGGAGGAAGAUAAUUAGGAUUGUAGUGUAGGACCCAGAGAGGGAGGUGCAGCAGAUUGGCCCUGGAAAGCCUGGGGCUGCCUCAGGAAGACAAAAUGGGCUUGGAAGAAAUGCUGAUGGAGAAAGGAAAAGGCCAGAAAGUGGACAGACACCUCCUCUCCACCACCAUGUUUACAUGGGACACACUCAGUUGUUGCAGAAUCCUUGCAUUGAGUGUGACUAAGAAAAAAUGUUCUCUUAAAAAAGCAAUAGUCCAUACUCUUAACAGCUUAAUAGAGGGAGAAAAUUAUACCUAAUAUUCUUAUUGACCCUCUGGAGUUGGUCUUCAACAGGUGCCCUCCUGCCUGGUGUCAUUCAAGCCAACAGAACAAGACCCAGUUUGGCUCAGGAGCAAAGGAAAGCUUUACUCUUUGAUCAAGGAGUGCGAACGUGUGCUGUAGAGUCCCCUGCUCUUGCAGCAGGCCGUGGGCGGGCCUGCCCUGCGUGGAUCUCACCAACCCGGAGGGGGCCGAGUUCCCGCAGGCAGUGUCAGGAGCAGCGUCCCUGAACAUGGCCCGCUGCUGCCGUCUUGAAUUACCUGUGUGAGUGGCGCUUUUUCACAUGGCCUGGAGCUGAGGUGUCGGCAUUCCUCACGAGGAAAUUUGAUCUGAAGCACCAGGCAACUGGUGAGAUCGGACUUCGUCACUGGAGCUGCUGCGGUUCCUGCCGUGGUGGAAGUGAUGGAAGCCAUGUCAAAGCCUAGCCUUUUCUGCCCAGGAUUUCCAGUGGAAGCUGAGAUAACCAGUGUCAAAUGAUGAGUCCUCAAGGUUUUAUAAUCGUUGGAACGGCAUGAGCCAGUCAACCCCUGCUGGCCUGCUCUUAGUCAGGAAUCAGGGCAAGCAGUGCUUGGGUCGGGACAGGUGAGGCCAUGUGGGUCUGAGGAGGCUUGUGAGACAGGUGUGUUACAUAGAUGAAAACGGAUGGUGAAAAACUAAGCCUGUCCAGAAGGAAUAGGACCCAGACAAAUGUGUGAAUUAGUGUGUCAUUUGGGUGACAUUCCAUGAAGGACCAUAAGGUGAUUUGAGCAAGUUUGAAACUUUUUCCUAUUCUGUUGUCCUUAUUGUGGCUGAUACUAUGGUUUUACUAUUCAAUCAUCUUUCCAAACUCUUUCCUAAAUUGUAGAGGCUGGAGAGCUAAAAGUAAGACUUUUCAGACUCCAAUGCAUCUAGAGUUCUAGAUGUGUUUCAGGUUGUGCCAAAGAGAUGUACUCGUGACGAACUUAAAUCCAGAACAGAGGAAAGUGGGGAGAGAGGCACAAGAUGAAACUGUAGCCCUGUCUGGGUGCGUAGUCAGCAGCCAUGAUAAGACUUCGUAAGGCUUCCAGGCAAGCCCAGUUGCCUGGUGUGGUUUUGGAAGUUUCUCCUAGAUGCUCAACCUAAAGACUGUUUAUUUCUUAAUUAAUUUGUAAGCCUUUUAAUGCGCCAUUAAAAAAAAAACCCUUUUGCUUAAACCAGCUAGAGGGGAAUCUAGUCUGAAGAAAUGACCAUUGAUAUACUUACAAUAUUUCUUAAAGGUUUUCCAGAGAAAUCUUAAGGGAGAAAGAGAGAAAAGAUAGAUAUAGAGAGAGGCAGAGAGAGAGAGACAUUAGGGCCAGGGUGGGUAGAGGGGAGAUCUUCCUCUUCUUACAGAGCCAUUAGUUCCCGUCAUGAAGGCCCCACCCUCAUGACCUAAUCUAACCCUAAUUUCCUCCCAAAAGUCCCAUCUCCAAACAUCAUCACAUCGGUGGUUAGAACAUCACCAUAUGUAUUUGGGGGGGACACAAAUAUUCAGUCAUAGCACAGACAGAAAACCAGGGAGAUUAAUUAAUUCUGGCUUUUAGAUGUUAUGCAUUUCAGGGUCCAUAGUUGUUAAAUGUGAGUAUUGCUUUCAGCACAUAUUAAUGUAGAUACUACCCAUGAAAAAACGCAGAACCUAGAAUGUACCUAAACACAUGUGACUUCUCAGUCAUCAUCAAACAUUAAGAGAACCUUAACAAAAUGUGUGCCAUGUUAGGGAAUUUUGUUGCUCAAAGAUAAGGAAAGAUGCAGUGUUUGUACCAUUGUUAUGAAAGGAAGGCUUCCUGUCUCCCCUUCACACUCUUGGAGGGUAAAUGUUAGGUCACUGCCUCAGCCUGCAUGCUCUGCAUGACCUUUGAUGCCUUUCUAAUAGACCUUGAUCCAUUUUUGUGUCUUACUGUGAUCUCCUCUCCCCAACCUUGGUCCUGCCUAGCAGGUGACUAUAAGGUCAUUUUCAAGCAGCUGCACACAAUUGACUUGUCCCUAAUUUCAUACUUUAUCUGGAAGGUGUGCUAAAGGUAGUAGACCCAGAAGCAUUAAGUAAUUGGUUUACUUCUAGAGGGCUUCUGGCUAAAAUCUUAAAGCCAGACCUAUCAAAGUGCUCACAGAACAAAGGGGCUUUCUAAGUCCAUUAGAAGGAUUCUCUAUUCUCAGAAGGCAUUUGGGGUUAUAAUAAAAAUGUCUUUUUCCCAAUAAUAUUAAGAGGAAAAAUCACUUGUGACUAGUACUUGAUUGAGACUGAAGUAUGUGAAAGAGGCAAAUGUGAUGUUUGUAAUAAUUAAUGGUUCAAAAUGGACUUUAUUAACAUUCUGGGGAAUGUUUUUCUCACAAAAGCAUUCUCAUCAAAAGCAAGAAUGAUUAUUUGCAAAAAUCUCAACCAAAAGUAAACUUCAUAUUAAUCAUGCUGAAAUAAUUUAAAAGAUACGAAUUGUUUUCUAGAUCCUUGCUAUUCAAAAUAUGGCCCCUGGACCAGGAGCAUUAGCAUCAUCUGGGAAAUUGUCGUAAAUCUGGUCUCAGGCCCUACCCAGACCUACUGAAUUAGGCUCUACAUUUUAACAAUAUUUCCAUGUGGUUUGUAAGCACAUUAGAAUUUUCAAAGCCCCAUUCUUGAUAUUGUAAUAUUGUUCAUAAGCCCACUUGUUGAAAUGAAUCCAUUCAGCAUUUAAAUAUGUUAUGGCAAAUGUCUAUUAAGGAUCAGCAAAUAGUUAUUUGUGUCCCUAUCAAUGCUAUUGUUAUGUGGAUUAUUAAUUUAGUUGAUUUUUGUUGUUACAAGGAAUUUUGCUUUUAUCCAAUGGGAUUUCUUGAGCUUCUGAAAGUGAGAAAUAGUCCCUUUUUUUUUCUUAUCUGUUCAUGUAGCUAAUUGUAAUCAUCAUUUUUUUUUGUUGUUGUUGUUCCUUCAACCUCCAACGAUGUGUUAUCAUUUAAGGAUUCUCAAAAGUCUUCUGACAUACCCUUCAGGUUGUUUUGGCCAAUCCAAUGGCAUUUUCUCCAUUCUCCCUUGCUUACAGAACUAUAGUUUAGUUCAGUGUCAUGAUGUUUUCAGCCCAAGUCUAAGCAAAUCAUGAUGAUCUUAUGUCCCUUUAUCACAUACUGAAUUUCCCAUCCUCGUUUGUAACUAAGGGUGACUGAGAUCUGACCAACAAGGGAUAAGCUGGAGGCUUAUGAGAAAGUCUUUAUUCCCUAAUAAAAACAACAGAGAUGAAAAGGUA